CAGGAUCUAUGAAUGUAGAACCGCCAAUGCUCACUGACAAUACAGUAACUGGGACACAUUUAAAGGUAGUAUCCAGACAUCUUUAUAAGAGGAAGAACACUCUUACCUCGCCCCUUUCCCGGUCGCUAAGGCAGCCAAUGGACUCUGGUGUCCUACAAAGUUGGAUCAGGCAUGCAACUUCCCACUGUGCUGACUCCAAUAUGGCAGACUUCAUCACUGUUAUUGUUUCUGUUCAAUAACAUGGCAACGGCUUACAAAUUCUCUUGUGGUAAAAAGGGAACUUAGGAGCAAAUGGGAACAGCCUCCACCACCUCCAGCAUCAAGGGCCUGUGCACAUGGAUCUGCA
rnacentral:lncRNA from 1 species